GAAAUGCGAUAAGUAAUGUGAAUUGCAGAAUUCAGUGAAUCAUCGAAUCUUUGAACGCACAUUGCGCCCGCCAGUAUUCUGGCGGGCAUGCCUGUUCGAGCGUCAUUUCAACCAUCAAGCCCCCGGGCUUGUGUUGGGGACCUGCGGCUGCCGCAGGCCCCGAAAACCAGUGGCGGGCUCGCUGUCACACCGGGCGUAGUAGAUUUUUCGUCUCGCCCAGGGCGUGCUGCGGGUUCCGGCCGUUAAAAAGCCUCUCUUUAACCCAAGGUUGACCUCGGAUCAGGUAGGAAGACCCGCUGAACUUAAGC
rnacentral:misc_RNA from 1 species